rnacentral:rRNA from 1 species
AUACGUAGGGGGCAAGCGUUAUCCGGAUUUACUGGGUGUAAAGGGAGCGUAGACGGCGAUGCAAGUCUGAAGUGAAAACCCGGGGCUCAACCCCGCGGACUGCUUUGGAAACUGUGUUGCUGGAGUGCAGGAGAGGUGAGUGGAAUUCCUAGUGUAGCGGUGAAAUGCGUAGAUAUUAGGAGGAACACCAGUGGCGAAGGCGGCUCCCUGGACUGUAACUGACGUUGAGGCGCGAAAGCGUGGGGAGCAAACAGGAUUAGAUACCCUGGUAGUCCACGCCGUAAACGAGGAAUGCUAGGUGUCGGGGGGCAAAGCCCUUCGGUGCCGCCGCUAACGCAUUAAGCAUUCCACCUGGGGAGUACGUUCGCAAGAAUGAAACUCAAAUGAAUUGACGGGG